GGAACAACCCCAGACACACACUACAGGUCAGCUCUUCUGCCAACACCCCUGUCUCCAUUCUUCCUACUCGGAGAGAGAAGCGUCAAAGAACCCGGAAGAAUGGCCGUUCGCCACAGGCGAUUACUUUCAGUUUCGAUUGUCUCUGUGUCCCUCUGAUCAUUAUUACUCAGGGGUUGAUCCUUGUAACAGGAACAUCAGGACUAGGACUACAAGCCUGGGUAACAGCUUCUUCCCUCGGCUGUGAAACUAUUGAAUACCCUGACACCGCCAAGGUCUUAUAACUAUGACAGGCUAUUUCAUGAGUCUGUAACAUGAGAAAUUCUGCAGAUGCUGGAAAUCCAAAGCAACACACACAAAAUGCUGGAGGAACUCAGCAGGUCAGACUGCAUCUAUGGAAAUGAAUAAAGAGUCGACGUUUCAGGCCGAAACCCUUCAUUGGGACUUUAAUGAUGCUCUAAUUUUACAAUUCUACAAUUAUACCAUGAUUGCACAACUGUGAUUUCAUGAAUCAAUUAUUCAGAAUCAGA